UUUGGCAGCCUGUUUGGACAAAAACUAUUUUUUGGCAGCAACAGUGCAGCAACAUCUGAUGUCACCACCAGAACUCUUAAAUUCACCAAAAGUAAGAUUUCUAAGUGGAAAGUGUAAUUGUGGUAACUGAUGUUUGGGGACCUUAGAGAAAUUGAUGUAUUGAAAGAAAAUUGAAUGAAUGAAAGCCAAAAACUAUUUCAUGUCUCACUGGUUUCAGAUGCAAUUGGAAGGUAUUUUAACUCUCCAUGGGACUCAAAACCAGGGACACAACAUUUUCAGUGUUGAAAAAGAUCCUGCAUCUCUAGAUCCAAGGAACAUGCCAAGACAUUCUUCACAGGAGACCUUGUCAAAGGGAGUUGAGCUUUCUGCUCCUGUUGAAGAGUGAUGACAUCACACCCAUCAGACCAGAUACCAAGAGGGAAAAUAUCAGCCUGUCUUUUUUUUAUGGAAACACCAGCAAAGCACAGAAGAUCUUUGAACUUCAAGGUUUAACACAGAGCACCAGGGCUUCACUCUUGAUCUCCAGUCAGUGAGGCAGAGAUGAGCAUUCAGCAGGGGUUAGACAGAUGUUUUCUAAUUUGUAACAGAACUGUUAAACCAUUCAGUCUAUUAGAAAAGUUCUUACAUCUUUCAGUAAAGACAGGCUAUUACUAAAAUUUAAAAAAGAGAGUUGAGAGUUGU